rnacentral:rRNA from 1 species
AGUGAACGCUGGCGGCAGGCCUAACACAUGCAAGUCGAACGGCAGCACAAGAGAGCUUGCUCUCUGGGUGGCGAGUGGCGGACGGGUGAGGAAUGCAUCGGAAUCUGCCCAUUUGUGGGGGAUAACCUCGGGAAACCGGGACUAAUACCGCAUACGACCUACGGGUGAAAGCAGGGGAUCUUCGGACCUUGCGCAGAUGGAUGAGCCGAUGCCGGAUUAGCUAGUUGGAGGGGUAAAGGCCCACCAAGGCGACGAUCCGUAGCUGGUCUGAGAGGAUGAUCAGCCACACUGGGACUGAGACACGGCCCAGACUCCUACGGGAGGCAGCAGUGGGGACUAUUGGACAAUGGGCGCAAGCCUGAUCCAGCCAUGCCGCGUGUGUGAAGAAGGCCUUCGGGUUGUAAAGCACUUUUGUUGGGAAAGAAAAGCAGCCGGUUAAUACCCGGUUGUCAUGACGGUACCCAAAGAAUAAGCACCGGCUAACUUCGUG